rnacentral:rRNA from 1 species
GGGUCAGUAGGUUGGUCGUGCCACCGGUACGUACUGGUCUCACUGAUUCCUCCUUCCUGAAGAACCGUAAUGCCAUUAAUUUGGUGUUGCGGGGAAACAGGACUGUUACUUCGAACAAAUUAGAGUGUUUAAAGCAAGCUAACGCUUGAAUACAUUAGCAUGGAAUAAUGAAAUAGGACGAUCGAUCCUAUUUUGUUGGUUUCUAGGAUUGACGUA